rnacentral:rRNA from 1 species
CCUGACCCAGCAACGCCGCGUGAGGGAUGAAGGCCUUCGGGUCGUAAACCUCUGUCGGGAGGGACGAAAGGCGCGCGGGUGAACAAUCCGCGUACUUGACGGUACCUCCAAAGGAAGCGCCGGCUAACUCCGUGCCAGCAGCCGCGGUAAUACGGAGGGCGCAAGCGUUGUUCGGAAUCACUGGGCGUAAAGCGCGUGCAGGCGGCUUGGUAAGUCGGGUGUGAAAUCCCGGAGCUCAACUCCGGAACUGCACCCGAUACUGCCUCGCUAGAGUCCCGGAGAGGAUGGCGGAAUUUCCGGUGUAGAGGUGAAAUUCGUAGAUAUCGGAAGGAACACCAGCGGCGAAGGCGGCCAUCUGGACGGUGACUGACGCUCAGACGCGAAAGCGCGGGGAGCAAACAGGAUUAGAUACCCUGGUAGUCCGCGCUGUAAACGUUGGGUGCUAGGCGUCGUGGGUAUUGACCCCCGCGGUGCCGAAGCUAACGCAUUAAGCACCCCGCCUGGGGAGUACGGUCGCAAGACUA